AAUAAGACAUCUGAAGCCCAUGUCCAGGAUCCGUCUGUGUGUGGUGGCUCUUGAUGCACUGACUCCAGCCUCAGUCUACUCCUUGUGAAAGUCCCCAACACAUUUGAAUGUCCUUUUCCUGACAAUCCUCUCCAGGCUGCGGUCAUCCCUGCUGCUUGUGCACCUUUUUCUUCCACACUUUUCCCUUCCACAUAACUUUCUAUUAAUGUGCUUUGAUACAGCACUUUGGGAACAUCCAACCUCAUU